GCAGAAGUAGUUCAGCCAAGGUUGGGGUCGCGGGUUCGAAUCCCGUCUUCUGCUCCA
rnacentral:tRNA from 1 species